rnacentral:rRNA from 1 species
UGCAAGUCGAACGGCAGCAUAGGUGCUUGCACCUGAUGGCGAGUGGCGAACGGGUGAGUAAUGCAUCGGAACGUGCCCAGUCGUGGGGGAUAACGCAGCGAAAGUUGUGCUAAUACCGCAUACGAUCUAUGGAUGAAAGCGGGGGACCUUCGGGCCUCGCGCGAUUGGAGCGGCCGAUGUUAGAUUAGGUAGUUGGUGGGGUAAAGGCUCACCAAGCCAACGAUCUAUAGCUGGUCUGAGAGGACGACCAGCCACACUGGAACUGAGACACGGUCCAGACUCCUACGGGAGGCAGCAGUGGGGAAUUUUGGACAAUGGGCGAAAGCCUGAUCCGGCAAUACCGCGUGCAGGAAGAAGGCCCUCGGGUUGUAAACUGCUUUUGUACGGAACGAAACGGCGCGCUCUAAUAAAGUGCGCUAAUGACGGUACCGUAAGAAUAAGCACCGGCUAACUACGUGCCAGCAGCCGCGGUAAUACGUAGGGUGCGAGCGUUGAUCGGAAUUACUGGGCGUAAAGCGUGCGCAGGCGGUUUUGUAAGACAGGCGUGAAAUCCCCGGGCUCAACCUGGGAAUUGCGCUUGUGACUGCAAGGCUAGAGUACGGUAGAGGGGGGUAGAAUUCCGCGUGUAGCAGUGAAAUGCGUAGAUAUGCGGAGGAACACCGAUGGCGAAGGCAGCCCCUGGACCUGUACUGACGCUCAUGCACGAAAGCGUGGGGAGCAAACAGGAUUAGAUACCCUGGUAGUCCACGCCCUAAACGAUGUCAACUGGUUGUUGGGAAUUUACUUUCUCAGUAACGAAGCU